rnacentral:rRNA from 1 species
UACGUAGGGUGCAAGCGUUAAUCGGAAUUACUGGGUGUAAAGCGUGCGCAGGCGGCUUUGCAAGACAGAUGUGAAAUCCCCGGGCUUAACCUGGGAACUGCAUUUGUGACUGCAUGGCUGGAGUGCGGCAGAGGGGAUGGAAUUCCGCGUGUAGCAGUGAAAUGCGUAGAUAUGCGGAGGAACACCGAUGGCGAAGGCAAUCCCCUGGGCCUGCACUGACGCUCAUGCACGAAAGCGUGGGGAGCAAACAGG